CAGCCGCCACGGUAAUACGUAGGGUGCGAGCGUUAAUCGGAAUUACUGGGCGUAAAGCGUGCGCAGGCGGUUAUGUAAGACAGAUGUGAAAUCCCCGGGCUCAACCUGGGAACUGCAUUUGUGACUGCAUGGCUAGAGUACGGUAGAGGGGGAUGGAAUUCCGCGUGUAGCAGUGAAAUGCGUAGAUAUGCGGAGGAACACCGAUGGCGAAGGCAAUCCCCUGGACCUGUACUGACGCUCAUGCACGAAAGCGUGGGGAGCAAACAGGAUUAGAUACCCCCGUAGUCCCUGUCUCUUAUAC
rnacentral:rRNA from 1 species